GUGCCCCACCUGGAUCCUCUUUACAGGCAGUGCGCCCACCCCCUGGCUGCUGUUUGUGUUGCCUGAUGACAAUUCACAGCUGCCCCUACUCCUGAAAAUAGUCCUCAGCCAAAUAGAAGUCUCCUUGCCCAGGAGGCAACACCCGCUACUGCCCAGGGCAGAUCUCAGCCAAUGGCAGCAGACUUAAUGGGACAAAAAGCUGGCCCCCUUGCCUGAAGCUGGGCUUAGUUUUACGGUGAAACUCCAGCCUCUCUGUGGAAUCAAACUGAAACUAAUCUUUAGCAGUCUUGUUGCUCAGGAACCAAACUUUAAGACAGCUGGCAUCAGAAAUGGUCUCAGGAAGCUGACUCUGAGGAUGGGAUUCUGGAGUUGGCUUGCUUGCUGGCUGGAUGGCAAUGAAGACCCCAUAGCUGAAGGACUUCCGAGACUGCAUGUUCUGGAGCAGAAGGAAAAAUACUACGGGUUGAGGAAUACAGAGGAGCUGCUGCGCAAGACGGCCACUGGAUGGCGCUGCUGUCCCACUCGCAGAUGACCUAAGCGUCUGAAUCGGGAAAUGGCUUCUAGCUCUUGGAAGCUCAAAGUCCCUGGAAAGCUGGAAGACUCACACAGUACUUUCUUAUUUUAAUUUUUUUUUUAAAAUAAAGCAGUGAUUAAAAGUUGCCACAAAGGCCAAUGUAAACUCUUUUCUCCUCAGAACAAAGGAUGUUUUCACUUUACCCCAAACUGGGGGCUUUCAGCUUAUCAAAAUCAACAGAAACGUUUUGGAAGCAGCUUCCAAGUUCAUCACUCUGGAUUGAGGUUCUGAGGGGUCCAGAAUGUGGAGGUGGAGAAUCUAGAUUGUAGAAAGUCAGCCUGAAAUAGCAGCCUGGACCACUGGAAAGUCCACAAAGGCAGGAAGGUCUUUGGAAUGAAGUGAAGCUAGAAGAAGCAUGAAUCCAGCAAUGUGAGCAGGCAGUGCCAGCCUAUGCGGCAGAACAGAGAAAAGAGGACUCCCUCAUUGACUGACUUUGCCACGAAGGUUUCCGAGUCUUCCUUCCAGGGCACCUUGGGAGGUCUGCAGCCCGAUGACUAGAAGCCCAACUGGGGCAUCUUUUCUUUAGCCAUCCAAGUCUGCAAAGGUUUGCCUUCUUUUGCCCAGGGCAUCUUUCUUAGACUCCUUAGCUACGCUUUCCACAGAAUUAUUAUCUGGGACUUCAAGUCUUGUAGUUCCUUGACAGCGAUUUUCUCAGGGCCUGAAAAAUUAUUUCUUCCAAAAAACUUGGUUCCCCGGCUGCCUCCUCAAAUUCAGCUAAACAGUUUGGUGGAAACCUCAGAGAUUAGGAUGAAAUUUACCAGAUACAGCAUGCUUUUUGGAAAUUUACCAGAUGUAGCACCUUUUGGGCUCAAAGACUAUUUCUGGAGAGAGAAAAAAAAAGUUCUUUGCUUCCACUAGAGAGCACCCUGCUCCACUGUAGCUAUUUUAGUCUGUCAGAAAUAUGGGUCCUAUUCCUUUCUCCCCCUCCACCCACCCUCAUCCAAUCAGGUAAUUUCCAUGAUAUAUUCAACCUGGUCACCUGUAAUCCAAUAAGACAGAGGUGAUAUAAACUCUGGCUGUGGGUAAUGUUUCUCAGUCAGACAUCAGACCCUAGGAAGGCAAAUAGGCUCAUGUGACAGAUGGCAGUCUGUGAAAAAAAAAAUCGACACAACUGUGCCCCUGGGCAUUUCCAGGCAAUCAAGCAUGUUGCAGAUUACUCUGAAAUGGGAUGCAUGCUGCCUGUAUGGACUACCCCACCAUACUGCUUGCUCCCACCAUGCCACCGCGGUGGUGUUUGGGGAAAUUCCAGGCCUCAGCCACCCUGCGGGGAGACCACAGCUGGAGAGCGCUCUGCCUGCUGUUUUAUGCAGGCUACUUGCUGAUUUGCAGCCAUAUCCCACAUAGGAAGCUGCAACGUGCUGCAAGAUGCUGAGUGUGCACCAAGCUUCGAGUUUGCCUCCCGGCUCCAGAGGAGAGCGGAGUGAUUGAUUGUAACACAACCAGGCAGCCCAUGCGCCUCCAAGCAUCUGUGUGCACACUAGUGGGGACUGCUGUGGGUGGUCGUGUAGUCAGGAGUCUGAUGAAAGCACCAGCCAAUGAUCCUGUGGUGCAGGUACAGCACAUGGAUCUGGAGUCCGUGCUGCAUUGUCCAGUGUGUGCACGGUAACACGUGUGCUGACGCUAUCUAACCUCCUUGAUUCCACACAGCAUCCCAGCAACGCAGCAUCUGUUCUGCUGCUCCAAAAAACCAACAUAUCGCACUGCCGUCACUGCCCAGCGUUACUGAGAUGGGCUUUUCGGUAUCACUUACAGUCAUCAACACCGAAUUUAAGCCAAUCUUGGCUGAAUGCUUUUAGGAAAGCCAAAGGGGCCAUAUUUUAGGCAUAAGUGUUCGGAAUCCAAACCACUUGAAUAUCUAUGUCAAGACAGAAGCAGAGGAGCCAAUAAAACAAAACAAAACAGAAAAACCAAUAAAGCCAAUUGGAUGUGACAACACUAACCAGAAAUGCUGUUUGGAAACAUUGUGAUCUCUUCUGGAAAGUGCUUAAAUAGCUGUGCGUGUGUCACCCACAGAAUAAAAGCAUUGUAAUAAUCCCUUUAGAACAAGGUUUGCCAGCUACAGCCAAAUCACUGGUUAAUUUUAGUAAAUCCUUUCCCUCCCUUAUCUCUCCUUUUUUCUCAUUCUCCCCAGUUUCCUGCUUUACGUUAUGGAUUUCUAAAGAUUCAAAAAUGCCUGGAGUCAAAAGCACAAUCCAAAAAAUAACAAGGAAUUGGACUUCACCAAAAUUAAGAAACUGCUCUUUGCAAGAC
ensembl:lncRNA